rnacentral:sRNA from 1 species
GGUUUUUUCACGUGUCGCCAGGGCCGGACCGCGAGUCUCUCCUUGCGGCGCUACACUAGAGCAGCGUACGAGUCUGAGGCGGAGGAAGUCAUGGCAGGACAAGCGUUUAGAAAGUUUCUUCCACUCUUUGACCGAGUAUUGGUUGAAAGGAGUGCUGCUGAAACUGUAACCAAAGGAGGCAUUAUGCUUCCAGAAAAAUCUCAAGGAAAAGUAUUGCAAGCAACAGUAGUCGCUGUUGGAUCGGGUUCCAAAGGAAAGGUAAAUGGGGGCUGCAGUGGAACUAUUUUUUAUAGUGUGCAGUGGAGGGAAAAGAAGUAAUUCUGGAGUGUUAAAAAUCGCUUAUUAAGUAGAGUUUAUGUCAUUUUCAAGAUCAUUAACUGCUUUGGUUCUAAUCUGUUUCUUAAAGGGAAAUGACUAAUAUAAAGUUGCUUAUUUUAUAUGACCAAUGCUGUGACGCUUAUUUUAUGUGAUAGUUUCAGAGUAUUAAAAAUUGUCCUCAAUAGGCCGGGCGCGGUGACUUUCGCCUGUAAUCUCAGCACUUCGGGAGGCCGAGGUGUGCGGAUCACAAGGU